CCCGCAACGAGCGCAACCCUUGUCACUAGUUGCCAUCAUUUGGUUGGGCACUCUAGUGAGACUGCCGGUGACAAACCGGAGGAAGGUGGGGAUGACGUCAAGUCCUCAUGGCCCUUAUGGGUAGGGCUUCACACGUCAUACAAUGGUCGGUACAGAGGGUUGCCAAGCCGCGAGGUGGAGCCAAUCCCUUAAAGCCGAUCGUAGUCCGGAUCGUAGUCUGGCAACUCGACUACGUGAAGUCGGAAUCGCUAGUAAUCGCAGAUCAGCAUGCUGCGGUGAAUACGUUCCCGGGUCUU
rnacentral:rRNA from 1 species